AUUGAACGCUGGCGGCAUGCUUUACACAUGCAGGUCGAACGGUAACAGGUCUUCGGAUGCUGACGAGUGGCGAACGGGUGAGUAAUGCAUCGGAACGUGCCCAGUCGUGGGGGAUAACGCAGCGAAAGCUGUGCUAAUACCGCAUACGAUCUAUGGAUGAAAGCGGGGGACCGUAAGGCCUCGCGCGAUUGGAGCGGCCGAUGUCAGAUUAGCUAGUUGGUGGGGUAAAGGCCCACCAAGGCGACGAUCUGUAGCUGGUCUGAGAGGACGACCAGCCACACUGGGACUGAGACACGGCCCAGACUCCUACGGGAGGCAGCAGUGGGGAAUUUUGGACAAUGGGCGCAAGCCUGAUCCAGCAAUGCCGCGUGCAGGAAGAAGGCCUUCGGGUUGUAAACUGCUUUUGUACGGAACGAAAAGGUCCGGGUUAAUACCCUGGGCUCAUGACGGUACCGUAAGAAUAAGCACCGGCUAACUACGUG
rnacentral:rRNA from 1 species